AGUUUGAUCCUGGCUCAGAAUGAACGCUGGCGGCGUGCUUAACACAUGCAAGUCGAACGGUAACAGGAGAAGCUUGCUUCUUGCUGACGAGUGGCGCACGGGUGAGUAAUGCAUAGGUAACGUGCCCCUUAGUCUGGGAUAGCCACUGGAAACGGUGAAUAAUACUGGAUACUCCUUCUACCUUGAUGGUAGUUGGGAAAGUUUUUCGCUAAGGGAUCGGCCUAUGUUGUAUCAGGUAGUUGGUGAGGUAAUGGCUCACCAAGCCUAUGACACAUAGCGGGUCUGAGAGGAUGAUCCGCCACACUGGUACUGAGACACGGACCAGACUCCUACGGGAGGCAGCAGUGGGGAAUAUUGCACAAUGGACGAAAGUCUGAUGCAGCAACGCCGCGUGGAGGAUGACACAUUUCGGUGCGUAAACUCCUUUUAUAUAAGAAGAUAAUGACGGUAUUAUAUGAAUAAGCACCGGCUAACUCCGUGCCAGCAGCCGCGGUAAUACGGAGGGUGCAAGCGUUAUUCGGAAUCACUGGGCGUAAAGGGUGCGUAGGCGGUUUGGAAAGUCAGAUGUGAAAGCCUACAGCUUAACUGUAGAACUGCAUUUGAAACUUCCAGACUAGAAUACUGAAGGGGCAGAUGGAAUUAGUGGUGUAGGGGUAAAAUCCGUAGAUAUCACUAGGAAUACCGAAAGCGAAAGCGAUCUGCUGGGAAGUUAUUGACGCUGAGGCACGAAAGCGUGGGGAGCAAACGGGAUUAGAUACCCCGGUAGUCCACGCCCUAAACGAUGAAUGCUAGUCGUCGGAAAGCUCGUCUUUUCGGUGAUGCAGUUAACACAUUAAGCAUUCCGCCUGGGGGAGUACGGUCGCAAGAUUAAAACUCAAGGAAUAGACGGGGACCCGCACAAGUGGUGGGAGCAUGGUGGUUUUAUUUCGAAGAUACGCGAAGAACCUUACCUAGCCUUGACAUUGAUAGAAUCUUGGUAGAGAUACCGGGAGUGGCCUGCUUGGCAGGAAACUUGAAAAACAGGUGCCUGCACGGGCUGUUCGUUCAGCUUCGGUGUCGUGAGAAUGGUUGGGUUAGGUUC
rnacentral:rRNA from 1 species